rnacentral:lncRNA from 1 species
ACCAUCCAUGAGAUCACCGAAAGCACGGUCGCUUUCGGUGGCGGCCUACAGAUGGCAGCACAGGUAGCGCCGGUAAAGUUACAGGUGAUAUUAUUUUGCCGUCCUCAGUUGUCGCCACAUGUGAGUGCUUGCUGCAUUGACGCCGUCCGAUGUAGUUGUUUAAUCGUGUGUACGCUGUGCCGAGAGAAAUUGUGGUGCAUUUUGUAUGCAUUGAGAAUCACAAAACCCCUGGGACCGCGUAAUGUAGCCCGCAGUAUCCUUCGUGUGGUGCGCCGAUGUCGAAGAUAUGACCCUUCGCGCUUCCUUUGUUCCGGGCUCAUGAACAGGAUCUCCUCCUCUGGCACUGUCGCAUCGUAUCGCGCUGUACGGAAGAAUUUGGUGAAAGUUGUGCUCUUACGUCCUGUAGUUGAUCCGCAAUUCAACAGUGUGUGCGCCGGAAGGACCGUUGGUGCAGUCGAUACCGCGGCACCUGUGACGCUAAAAGGAGCGUUUUCCGAGUACGCCUAGAAAGGGAUGGCAAGAUUUUGUGAACCAGAGGCACCUCCACAUAUGCACCUGCGGCACUUCUGCAGCCUCAACAGCACGGAAAAGUACCUGAUGUGCAUGCUGUGACAAGCUGCUGUAGGUAUGGCUGGACCUGGAGAAGAAGUGUAAGCAGACCAUGCUAUGUUGCUGAUCUGCGCUGAUCUCCACAUCCAAGUUGGUCCCGCGACAGUUGGGCACCAUUGUGCCUUGCUUCAUUGACAAGGUGAUAUAAUAUGGUGCCCUGCUCGCUCUCACCCAAGCAACCCACUCCAGCGGUCUUCUCUCGGCAGACUGGAUGCAUCGAAAUACCGUUAGAAGGUCCAAUAAACAGUGCUUGUGACAUUUAUGACAUGCUUUU